UGCAGGUUGGUACCUGUGGCCGGAGAGGCCGUUACUGCACCCUCUGCAUAUUCUGUGCCGUGGGAUAAAUGGCAUUAAGCUUCAUCGCACACGAGACCCCCAGACUCUAACGUCCGGUGCCAAAAAAUGGAGGUAAAAGGCUCCAGCGGGAUCUCCACUCCAGG